GACGAACGCUGGCGGCGUGCUUAACACAUGCAAGUCGAACGGAAAGGCCCUGCUUUUGUGGGGUGCUCGAGUGGCGAACGGGUGAGUAACACGUGAGUAACCUGCCCUUGACUUUGGGAUAACUUCAGGAAACUGGGGCUAAUACCGGAUAGGAGCUCCUGCUGCAUGGUGGGGGUUGGAAAGUUUCGGCGGUUGGGGAUGGACUCGCGGCUUAUCAGCUUGUUGGUGGGGUAGUGGCUUACCAAGGCUUUGACGGGUAGCCGGCCUGAGAGGGUGACCGGCCACAUUGGGACUGAGAUACGGCCCAGACUCCUACGGGAGGCAGCAGUGGGGAAUAUUGCACAAUGGGCGGAAGCCUGAUGCAGAAACGCCGCGUGCGGGAUGACGGCCUUCGGGUUGUAAACAGCUUUCGCCUGUGACGAAGCGUGAGUGACGGUAAUGGGUAAAGAAGCACCGGCUAACUACGUG
rnacentral:rRNA from 1 species